rnacentral:rRNA from 1 species
AGAGUUUGAUCCUGGCUCAGGAUGAAUGCUGGCGGCGUGCCUAACACAUGCAAGUCGAGCGGCAGCGGGUUCUGCACUAUCAACUUGAAGCCUGGACGCGGGGAUUUCCGAAGGAAAUCAGCCGUAUCAUUUCGAAAGGAGUGAGUGUCUAGGGUGAUUUCGAAUUGAUAGUGCAGAAUGUCGGCGAGCGGCGAACGGCUGAGUAACGCGUAGGGAUUUGCCCCAAAGUGAGGGAUAACUGCCCGAAAGGGUAGCUAAUACCGCAUAUGGUCUUCGGAUUAAAGGAUUUAUCCGCUUUGGGAGAAGCCCGCGUCGGAUUAGGUAGUUGGUGAGGUAAUAGCUCACCAAGCCGACGAUCCGUAGCUGGUCUGAGAGGAUGACCAGCCAGACUGGAACUGAGACACGGUCCAGACUCCUACGGGAGGCAGCAGUGAGGAAUCUUCCACAAUGGGCGAAAGCCUGAUGGAGCAACGCCGCGUGCAGGAUGAAGGCCUUCGGGUUGUAAACUGCUUUUAUAAGUGAGGAAUAUGACGGUAACUUAUGAAUAAGGAUCGGCUAACUACGUGCCAGCAGCCGCGGUCAUACGUAGGAUCCGAGCGUUAUCCGGAGUGACUGGGCGUAAAGAGUUGCGUAGGCGGUUUGUUAAGUGAAUAGUGAAAUCUGGUGGCUCAACCAUACAGGCUAUUAUUCAAACUGGCAAACUCGAGAGUGGUAGAGGUCACUGGAAUUUCUUGUGUAGGAGUGAAAUCCGUAGAUAUAAGAAGGAACACCGAUGGCGUAGGCAGGUGACUGGACCAUUUCUGACGCUAAGGCACGAAAGCGUGGGGAGCGAACCGGAUUAGAUACCCGGGUAGUCCACGCCGUAAACGAUGGAUACUAGCUGUUGGAGGUAUCGACCCC